GGCGCUAUAGCCAAGUGGUUACGGCGACAGAUUAGAAUCAGAGGAUUUUCAUAAAUAUGACCUUAUCUGUUCCUCUUUGAGGGCGCAGGUUCAAAUCCUGCUGGCGUCG
rfam:Lentinula edodes NBRC 111202 DNA, contig: scaffold248.